rnacentral:rRNA from 1 species
CGAACGCUCUCUUCGGAGGGAGUGGCGCACGGGUGAGUAACACGUGGGAACGUACCUUGAAGUACGGGAUAACAGUUGGAAACGACUGCUAAUACCGUAUACGCCCUAAGGGGGAAAGAUUAUCGCUUCGAGAUCGGCCCGCGUCCGAUUAGUUAGUUGGUGGGGUAACGGCUUACCAAGACGACGAUCGGUAGCUGGUCUGAGAGGAUGACCAGCCACACUGGGACUGAGACACGGCCCAG